GGAGAGGUGGCUGAGCGGUCGAAAGCGGCGGUCUUGAAAACCGUUGGCCCGCAAGGGCCCGUGGGUUCGAAUCCCACCCUCUCCGCCA
rnacentral:tRNA from 1 species